rnacentral:rRNA from 1 species
UACGGGGGGGGCAAGCGUUGUUCGGAAUUACUGGGCGUAAAGGGCUCGUAGGUUGCCAACUAAGUCAGACGUGAAAUCCCUCGGCUUAACCGGGGAACUGCGUCUGAUACUGGAUGGCUUGAGUUCGGGAGAGGGAUGCGGAAUUCCAGGUGUAGCGGUGAAAUGCGUAGAUAUCUGGAGGAACACCGGUGGCGAAGGCGGCUUUCUGGUCUGUAACUGACGCUGAGGCGCGAAAGCGUGGGGAGCAAACAGG